rnacentral:rRNA from 1 species
CACGUAGGGGGCAAGCGUUGUCCGGAUUUAUUGGGCGUAAAGGGUGCGUAGGCGGCUUCUUAAGUCUGGUGUGAAAUCUCCUGGCUCAACUGGGAGGGUGCGCCGGAUACUGAGGGGCUAGAGUGUGGGAGAGGAAAGUGGAAUUCCAGGUGUAGCGGUGAAAUGCGUAGAUAUCUGGAGGAACACCGGUGGUGUAAACGGCUUUCUGGACCAUUACUGACGCUGAUGCACGAAAGCGUGGGUAGCAAACAGG